UUGUAAUCCAGUUGCAUGUGUUGCCUGCGUCUAUGGCAUAGCCUUCUCAAUUGCAGUUCUAAGACAAGGCGCAGAGAUUGGGACCAAAGCCCUCUGUGCUGUACUCUGCCCUCUUUGUUUCCUGGGAGCCUGCUAGGGGUUUUUGUCUUUUUAUUUGAUGCCUCUAGUGGUUUUUUUAAUGUCCUAAGGCAGUGCCCCAUAAGAUUCUAGGUGGGUGAGAAGCAGCCUUUCUUCUGAGAAUAGGGAUUAUGGCCAUUGUGAAAAGGAAAGUAUUUAAAGAUAGCUCUGAAGAGGUUUUAUCUGAGCACAUAAAUAUUAGGAUAAUACAUAUGGAAAUUGAAGAUCUUAAAGUUGCUUUCCUUAUAGAUAUUCCUGUCUACUUUCCCUAUUGGAAGAAAUUUUGGUGUAUGCUCAGGGGUAUGAAUAUUUUGAAGAUCAAGGCCCUAAAAUUAUUAAAUUUAAGGAUCUUAAGAAUGAACUUGGGUUGCUUGCUAUAAGCCCAACUCAACUCCCUGCCCCAAACACACACAUGCAUGCAUUCACAGGCGCUGGUACACACACAGGUACAGACAAAAAUCCUUUAUUUAGCAUCGUAUUUAGAGAAAUUUUGUUAAAAUCAUAGAAAUUAACCAGCACGCACUCAUAUAGUCAACCUCUUAUUUUGCACAUGAGGCUGAAAGGGUAAAUGACUGCUAAAAGUCACAGCUAGUGAUAGAGCUUUCUGGGAUCCAGGUCUCCUACAGUAAAUCUCUAAACCAUGCUUUCUUCCUUCUCAUUAUUUGUUAACUGUUUAAACUGUGGUUUUUGUUGAAUUUGGAAUAACUGAUGGCCUUAAAAUACUGAAGAAUAUGAGCUGCAGCCAAAACAGGACUUCAGAGAGAAUACUUAACUGUUUCUCCUCAAAGAGAAAAGGCAGUACAUGUCAGCUCCUCGUACAUAAUCCGAUAAGUUACUCCUCCCACUGGAAAGACAAGUAGAGGCAGCAGAGGAACCUGAACUGUCUGUCCAGUGUUUGUCCUCCUUGGGGGAUGAAACUUAGGUCUCUGGCUGUCUCCAGGCAUUAGGGACAAGGGUUUUUCCCCUCAGUAAAUAGAAUCAGUCCUUCAAGUUCAGUGUUUCAUUAGACUAUGGUAAGUGCUCUAAAAAUUUAGGAAGUUAAGUAACUUUAUACCCCAUUCUCUCCCCACCCCACCCCCAUACUACUCUUUUCAUGAUAGUUUGAUAGCUAUUGAUUUUAUUUUAAUUUUGCCAGUUAAUUGCUUUUGCAAGUAAAAUGAGGAAUAGGGAGAGCUGGGAUCUGCACUUGUACCCUCUGGUCCCUCUUAUAUGAAGUUGAGUUUUUGAAGAAAGCUUAAUAAAAGUCUAAAAUUUUUAUUUUUGUAUAUAGAUAUUUGCUGCUAAUUUGGUGCAUCCUUGCCUAGCACAGAAUCCUCUUAUGCUACUCUACUUACUUUUUUCCCCCCUUGGAUCACCUUGGUUUUUACUGUCCCCAUUAGCAGUAAAUACUUUGCUUAGAAGAUUUUAAACUGCACAUUUGAGCUGAAAAUAUUUGAAUAAAUACAUUUAGGUUUACUGAACCCCUAUCAAGAGUCUUGAACAACUUGAAUGUUACAAAGAACUGUAUCUGCAGAAGGAGGUAAUAUUUCUUUUGUAGCUUACCUGAAACCCAAGAUGCUGCUUCUGCAGUUUGUUUUCCAUUAUCCAGGAUCUUUGUUUUAUUAAUUUUUUAAAUUUUUUAUUUUAUAUCGGAGUGUAGCCAAUUAACAAUGUUAUGAUAGUUUUAAGUGCACAGCAAAGUGACUCAACCAUACAUAUACAUGUAUCCAUAAGAAUUGGCCUGUGAUGUGGGAGACCUUGCUUGCUUGGAAAAUCCCAUGAACAGAGGAGCCUGGCGGGCUAUAGUCCCUGGGGUCUCAAAAGAGUCAGACACAACUGAGCAACUGACACUUCACUUCAUUCUAUCCUAAACUUCCCUUGAAUCCAGGCUGCUGUAUAACCUUGAACAGAGCUCCUUGUGCUAUACAGUGGAUCCUUUUUGUUACCCAUUUUAAAUAUAGCAGUGUACAUGUCGAUCUGAGAGUCUCUAUCCCUUCCCCCCACUUUUCCCCACUGGUAACUGUAAGUUCUCUAAGUCUGUGAAUUUGCUUCUGAUUUGUAAUUAAGUUUAUUUGUAUAAUUUCCUUUUUGAUUCUGCAUGUAAGGGAUAUCAUGAUAUUUCCGUCAUAUCGUGUCAUAUGAUACCAUCUGAUCUCUCUGGGUCCAUCCAUGUUGCUGCAUAUGGCAUUAUUUCAUUCUUUUUAAUGGCUGAAUAGUAUUCCAUUGUGUAUAUGUACCACAUCUUCCUUAUCCAUUCCUCUGUUGAUGGGCACUUGGGUUGCUUCCAGUUUUUGGCUGUUGUAAACAACACUGCAAUGAACACUGGGGUGCGUGUCCCUUCCGACCUGUUUUUCUCCACAUAUAUUCCCAGGAGUGGGAUUGCAGGGUCCUAUGGUAGCUCUAUUUUUAGUUUUUUUAAGGAAACUCCAUACUGCUCUUUGUAGUGGCUGUACCAUUUUACAUUCUCACCAACAGCAUAGGAGGGUUCCCUUCUCUCCACACCCUGUCCAGUAUUUACUGUUUAUGGAUUUUUUGAUAAUGGCCAUUUUGGCUGAUGUGAGUUGAUAACCUCAUUGUAGUUUUGAUUUGCAUUUCUCUAGUAGCAAUGUUGAACACCUUUUCAUGUGCCACUAAGCCAUCUAUGUCUCCUUCUGAGAAAUGUCUGUUUAGGUCUUCUGCCCAUUUUUGUUGGUCUUUUAAUGAAAUUUUUUAUUUUUAAGGUAAUUGUGGAUUCACGUGCAGCUGUAGGAAACAGUACAGAGAGAUGCCUUGUAAUCUGUAAUAAUUUGCCCCAAUAAUAACAUCUUGAAAAGUUGUAGUGUAACAUCACAACCAGGGUGUUGACGUUGAACGGUCAGGAUAAAAAGCAUUUCCAUCACUGCUGGAAUCCUUCUACAAUCCUUUAUAGACCUGUUAGGUUCCUUAUAACCCUAUCCGCUCUUUAGCCCUAGAAAUUACUAAUUUGUUUUCCAUUUCUGUGAUAUUGUGACUUCAGAAAUGCUCGUGCAUGGAACCAUAUGGUAUGCAACCUUUUGGGAUUGGACUUUUUUUUUCCAGCAUAAUUGCCUGGAAAUACAUCUGAGUUGUAUAUAUGAAUAAUUUGUUCUUUUAACUGCUGAGCUGUAUUUUAGGGUAUAGCUAAACUACAGUUUGCUUAAUCAUUCACUCAUUGAAUGACAUCUAGAUUCUUUCUAGUUUUUGCCAUUAUAAAAAAAGCUGCUAUAAGCAUUUGUGAACAUAUUUUGGACAAACCGAAGUUUUAAUUUCUCUGGGAUAAAUGCUUAGUAAUACAAUUGAUAAGAAGGUAUGGUAAAUGAAUUUUAGCUUUUAAGAAUUGCCAAAUGCUUUUUCCUUAAUGGCUAUGCCAUUUCACUUUCUCACCAGCAAUUUAACAGUGAUCCACUUCUCUGCAUGAUCACUAGAAUUUGGUGCUUUCACUCUCUAUAAUAUUUAAUUUUAGUCAUUCUGAUAGAUAUGUGAUGAUAUCCCAUUGUGGUUUUAAUUACAGUUUUCCUAAUAACUGAACCUUUUAAUUGGACCUGAAACAAGUGAGCCUGAACCGUGUAUAUGCCGUACGUCCAUCCUCUUUGGUGAAGGGUUCAUGCCUUUUGCCCAUUUUCUAAUUGCUUUCUUACUGUUGAGUUUUGGGUUCAGUUCAGUUCAGUUGCUCAGUUGUGUCCGACUCUGCAACCCCAUGGACUGCAGCACGCCAGGCCUCCCUGUCCAUCACCAACUCCCAGAGUUUACUCAAACCCAUGUUCAUUGAGUUGGUGAUGCCAUCCAACCAUCUCAUCCUGUCGUCCCCUUUUCCUCCUGCCCUCAAUCUUUCCCAGCAUCAGGGUCUUUUCAAAUGAGUCAGCUCUUCACAUCAGGUGGCCAAAUUAUUGGAGUUUCAGCUUCAACGUCAGUCCUUCCAAUGAAUAUUCUGGAUUGCUUUCUUUUAAGAUGGACUGGGAGUUCUUUCUAUGCUCUAGAUAUUAGUUCUUUGCUGUAUAUGCUGUAUUUGUAAAUAUUUUCUCCCACUCUGUAGUUGGUCUUUUUAUCCCUUUCAGAUGAUCUUUCUCAGAAAUAGUUUGUAGUUUUGAUAAAGUUCAGUUUAUCAGUUUUUUUGUAUAUAUUUUGUGCUUUGCUGUCAAGUCUAAAAAUUCUUUGUUUUAGCCCCAAAUCUGGAAUAUUUUGUCCUUGUUUUCUGUUAACAGUUUAGUGAUCUGAUAUUUUACGUUUAAAUCUGUGAUUCAUCUUGCUUUAAUUUUGUAUAAGUUGUGGUAAUUAGAUGAAGAUUUUUCUUUUUUUUUGUCUAUGAUGCCCUAUUGUCCCAGCAGCAUUUAUUCAAAGACUAUUUUUCACUUAUUUAUUUAUUUUUGAAAACUUUUUAUUUUAUAUUGGAGUGUAGUCAGUUAACAAUAUUGUGAAGUCAGGGAGUACUUUGGCUAUUCAGGGUCUUGUCUCCAUACAGAUUUUAAGAUUUUGUGUUCUAGCUCUGUGAAGAAUGCCAUUGAUGAUUUGAUAGGGUUUACAUUGAAUCUGUAGAUUGCCUUAGGGAGUAUAGUCAUUUUGAUACUGUUGAUUCUUCCAGUCCACAAAGUGUGUUUCAUUUUCCCAUUUCUUUGUGUCUCUGACUUCUUUCAUCAGUAUCUUACAGUUUUCAGAGUACACGUCUUUUGUCUCCUUAAGUAGGUUUAUUCCUAAGAUAUUUUAUUCAUUUUGAUGCAAUGGUAAGUGAAAUUGUUUCUUGAAUCUCUGUCUAAUCUUUUGUUGUUAGUGUAUAGAAGUGCAAAAGAUUUGUGUGUAUUAAUGUGCAGCCUGCAGCUUUACGGGCUUCGUGGAUGAGUGCUGGUUUUCUGGCCAUGUCUUGAGGAUUUUCUGUGUAGAGGAUCAUGUCAUAUGCAGGCAGUGACAGUUCAACUUCUUUUCCAAUUUGGAUUCCUUUUAUUUCUUUUUCUUCUCUGAUUGCUGUAGCUAGGACUUCCAAAACUGUUGAAUAAAAGUGGCGCGAGUGGAUACCCUUGUCUUGUUUCUGGCCUUAGAAGAAAUGCUUUCAGCUUUUUCCUGUUGAAUAUAACGUUAGCUGUAGGUUUGUCGAGUAUAGCAUUUAUUAUGUUGAGGUAUGUUCCCUCUAUAUAUACUUUCUGGAGAGUUUUUAUCAUAAACGAGUACUAAAUUUUGUCAGAACCUUUUUCUGCAUCUGUUGCUCAUUGGGCUUCCCUGGUGGCUCAGAUGGUAAAGAAUCUGCAUGCAAUAUAGGAGACCAAGGUUCAGUCUCUGGGUCGGGAUGAUCCUCUGGAGAAAGGCAACCCACUCCAGUAUUCUUGUCUGGAAAAUCCCAUGGACAGAGGAGCCUAGAGGGCUACAGUCCAUGGGGUCUCAAAGAGUCAGACAUGACUGAGCAGCUUCCACUUGAUUGAUCAUAAGGCUUUUAUUCUUCAAUUUUUUUAAUGUGUAGACACUAAUUUAUAAAUAUUAAAAAAAUCCUUGCAUAACUGCAAUAAAUCCCACUUGAUCAUGGUGUGUGUAUAACUGUUUUAAUGUAUUGUUGAAUACGGAUUUCGAGUAUUUUGUUGGAAGAUUUUUGUGUCUGUGUUCAUCAGUGGUAUUGGCUUGUAAUUUUCUUUUUGUAGUAUCUUUGUCUUGUCUUGACGUCAGGGUGAUGGUGGCCUCGUAGAAUGAGUUUGGGGGUUUCCUUCCCGUCCAGUUUUUUGAAACGGUUUCCAGAAGGAUAGCCAUUAACUCGUCUCUAAAUGUUUAAUAUUUAGAUUUUGCCUGUGAAGUCAUCAGGUCCUGGACUUUUGUUUGUUGGGAAUUUUUAAUCACAGUUUUCAAUUUCAGUGCUUGUGAUUGAUCUGUUCAUAUUUUCUGCUUCUUCCUGGUUCAGUCUUGGAAUGCUGAACCUUUCUAAGAAUAUGUCCAUUUCUUCCAUGUUGUGCAUUUUAUUGGCAUACAGUCGCCUGUAGUGGUCUCUCAUGAUCCUUUGUAUUUCUGUGAUGUCAGUUGUAGCUUCUCCUUUUUCAUUUCUAAUUUUAUUGAUUUGAGUCCUCUCCCUUUUUUUUCUUGAUGAGUCUGGCUAGAGGUUUAUCAAUUUUGUUUAUCUUUUCAAAGAACCAGCUUUUAGUUUCAUUGAUCUUUGCUGUUGUUUUCUUUGUCUCUAUUCCAAUUAUUUUCUAUCUGAUCAUUGUGAUUUCUUUCCUUUCUACUAUCUUUGAGGAUUUUUUUUGGUUUUGAGUUUUGUUUGUUCUUUCUCUAGUUGCUUUGGGUAUCAGGUUAGGUUGCUUAAUUGAGGUUUUUUUCUUGUUUCCUGAGGUAAGACUUCCAUAAACUUUCCUCCUAGAACUGCUUUUGCUGUAUUUCAUAGAUUUUGGAUUGUUGUGCUUUCAUUUUCAUUUGUCUCUAGAUAUUUAUUUUCUCUUUGGUUUUUUUCAAUGAUCCAUUGGUUGUUUAGUAGCAUGUUGUUUAGCCUCCAACUGUUUGUUUGUUUAUAGUUUUUUUCUUGUAAUUUAUUUCCAAUCUCAUAGCACGAUGGUAAAAGAAGCUUGGUAUUGUCUCAGUUUUCUUAAACUGACCGAGGCUUGCCUUGUGGCCCAGCACGUGGUCAGUCCUAGAGAAUGUGCCGUGUGCACCUGAGAAGAAGGCGUAUUCUGCUGCUUUUGGAUGCAGUGCUCUAUAAAUAUCAGUUAAGUCCAUCUGAUCUAAUGUGUCACUUAAGGCCUUUGUUUCCUUGUUAACUUUCUGUGGGGUGUUAAAAGUCCACCACUCUUAUGUGUUCCUGUCAGUUUCUCCCUUUAUGACUCUUGUGCUGUGCCUAGUCACUCAGUCGUGUCUGACUCUUUGUGACCCCGUGAACAGGAGCCCGCCCAGCUCCUCUGUCCAUGGGAUUCUCCAGGCAAGAAUACUGAAGUGGGCUGCCAUUUAUUUCCUUCUCCGUGGCUCUUAGUAUUGGCCUUACAUAUUGAGGUGCUUCUGCAUUGGGUGCAUAUAUAUUUACAGUUGUUCUUGCAUUUACGGUGUCUUCUUGGAUUGAUCCGUUGAUCAUUAUGUAUUGUCAUCCUUUGUCUCUUAUGUGCUCUGGGUGCUAAGUCGCUUCAUAGUCUUGACUCUGCGACUCCAUGGAUUGCAGCCCGCCAGACUCCUCUGUCCAUGGGAUUCUCCAGGCAAGAACGCAGGAGUGGAUUCCCACGCCCUCCUCCAAGGAAUCUUCCCAACUCAGGGAUCAAACCUGUGUCUCCUGUGUCUCUUGCAUUGGCAGGCGGGUUCUUUAACACUAGUGCCACCUGGGAACUUAUCACAGUGUUUAUUUUAAAAUCUGUUUGUCUGAUACAAGUAUUGCUAUUCCAGCUGUCUUUUGCAUUUCCAUUUUCAUGGAAUACCUUCUUCCAUCCCCCAGGAUCUUUAUUAAAUGUUGUUCGGGAGCAUAGCACAGCGAGUAGAAUUCCUUGUGUUUCUCGGCUUAGAAUGGGUUAGGGAGUCUUAAAAGGGCCAAAUAAAACUAUCAGAGCAGUGCUUUACCUGCAGUAACUUUUUUUUUUUUUUUUUUGCAGUAACUUUUAAAUCAUCUUCUUGAUCUAUUUUUGAUCUUGUUCUUUUUUCAAUGUCACUGUGGUACAGAUAAGUAUGACAAGGGACUGAACCCGUGCCUUCUGCGCCGGAAGCAUGGAGUCUUACCCAUUGCCAGGGAAGUCUGAAAGUAAAGUAUAUGGUUUUAGAUACUGUGAAUCUGUUGUUUUCCGUUUAGCCAAAUAUCUGCUUAAAUUGUUCAUGUCCUAAAGAAGAGUUCAUCCUGACAGUUCUCUCAUUCGUGGGUGUUGAUGUAUGCACACACGCUAUCAAGACUUAAUGCUUUGCUAAAACUGGCUGCAGACCAGGUGAUUUUAGAAUCUGCACUUCAGAGAUAAAGAAACCUGCAAGCUCUCCCCUGUGCCAAAAAUACCACAUACAGUGUUUACAAAUGUCUAGAAUUUUGCACUGCCAUAGGGUACCUGAGGUUACUUUACUGGAAUUGUCCGCAUCUGUGAUUAGCUGAGUUGCAGUUUAGCAUAUGAGGAGAAAUAUUGGAGACUCUAAAGCUAAACUGGAAAUGGAAAUUAUCUGCGGUGGUGGUUCAGGUGACCCCCCAGACCUAAUCUGGAAACAGUUUUUUCCAGAUGGCCUUGAGAUACUCUUUUUGUUGAUAGAGCUUUCCUUGCUGGCCAUUGCUAUAUUCUUUCUUUAGCAACCAGAUCUCUUUUUCUUCUGUGGGAAAAUGUCCUAUUAGUAUUUUGAGAUCUUUUAAUGCAAUGAAUAUGCAAUCCCAAAUAAUGCCACUGUUGGUGAAUGUGGUAUUGUUAAAAUAUUAUAAUAAGCUUACACUUGGGGUUUCCUGUACUUCUCUCAAGAGCCUUUUGAAUGACUGGAAUGUCACAGAGAAAGAAGUGUUCAGAAAGAGGUAGUUAGUAUUUCUGGGAAGCUUACCUGAAAUCCAGGAUGCUGCUUCUGCAGGUUGCUCUUCACUGGGGAUCUUUAUUAAAUGUCAUCUUGGAGGAUAGCCCAGCAGGUAGAACUGCUUAUUUCUUGGGGCAGGAUGGGUCAAGAAUCCUAAAAGGGGCCAGAUGGUGCUGUCAGAGCAAUUCCUUUCUCAGUUGCUGUAGUUUGAAAAAUACUUGUUGUAGUUGCUGUAGUUUGAUAAAUACUUUAUUGAAAAUUAAUACUUAAAACAUUUUAUCAGAAUAUCUGAUUUCUUAUCCCAAGGCUUUUUUUUGUUUUUGUUUUUAAACAGUAAAAACUUUGUUGUCAGACAUUUCCCAUUCCUGUUGUUCUUUUUCCUUGGAAUUCAAAGUUAUUAUCUACUUCUGGAUAUUGCUUUUAUAUUGAAGGCCUUUCUGUAUCACCCCUUGGACGGUUGUAACUCCAGUGUCUUUAGAUAAUAUUCCUCUUUUCCAGUCAGUCCUGGGGAAUGUUUCUCCUGCAGAAUUAGGUGGUGGAGUCUAGCAAUAAGAAGCAAAGACAUGACAUCAGAGCUACUGUCUAUUAAAAACAACUGUAGAUGAAGAUUUGUGUGUAUGAACUGUUUAUUUCAUCAGUGUGUUGGAGUGUAGGAGAUUUGUGUAUGUGAGCUGUUUAUUUCAUUGUGUGUUGCAGUGUAGGUGAUUAACAGUGUUGUGUUGGUUUCGGGUGUGCAGCAAAGCGAUUCAGUUAUACCUAUACAUAUAUCUGUUCUUUUUCAAAGUCGUUUCCCACUUAGGUUGUUAGAUAAUAUUGAGCAGAGUUCAUUUUAUCUUGCUUUAACUUUUUACUUAAUAUAAAGUAUAUUGGAGUAUAGCCGAUUAGCAAUGUUGUGACAGUUUCAGGCGCACAGCCAUACAUAUACAGGUGUCCGUCCUUCCCCAAAGUCCCCUCCCAUACAGACUGCCACCCAGUACUGAGCAGAGUUCUCUGUGCUGCAGAGUAGGUUGUCCAUUUUAAAUAUAGAACUGUGUACAUUGUCCCCCUAUUCAGUUUGCCUCAUUUUUUUCUUUUUCAUAAAGAAUCAAAAUGCCUCAUUUAGUUUUUUCUUUUCCUCUUGUGAAAGUUACAGAAAAUGUUUUUUAAAGGAGUGCAGUGUUUCUGGCCUCCUCAUCACCUAGCAAGGCAGCCUCUUAAACAGGACUCUCUUCUAGUCUAUAGCCAGGCACUGUUAAGUGCUUCUUGGAUAGAGAUAAGGAAUAAACUUAUUCUACCAUCAUGAGUCCUAAUCUUGACCUUCUUAAGCCUCAGUUUUUCUCAUCUGUAAAAUGAGUUCACAUACUACUCUUUCUACCUCAUAGUUUGUUGGGGGGAUUAAGUGUGGGAGGUAAUAGAACCUCUGGUUGCCUUGAAUAAGAUACUAGACGUUGUUAAGCUUUUGGUAGACCACGCUCUGGGGUAUAUAUUCAGAAUGCCUCGUCUCCUAGAAGCUGAGCUCCCCUUUGUGCCUGCCUAGCAGAGCCUACAUUGCUUCCUUUUACCCAUGCCUCCAGCUUAUGUAUCCUUUGCUUCACAUGAUCUCUUGUCUAGAAGAGUUCAGGCCCUAGGUUCUGAGAGAACUGUGUAUAUAAAUUUGGGUAGUAGCUACAACUGCCUUGCUAUGGUCUUGAUAUAAAAAAUUCUGUCUUACGUGCACUUGAAUAGGUGGCAUAAAAUGCAAUCAGUGUAUAGAAAUCAUGCAGAUUUCCAAAUAACAUCUAAUUAGGUAGUCAUAAUUAAUAAUAGUAGCAAAUACGGUGGGAAAAAAAAACCAACUUUGAAACCAGCCCAGAACUUGAGGAAAGGAGAUGUGUUCAUGAGCUCUUGCCUGAUCUUUAUAAGCAUUACUAAGUUGGUAGCUCUGUAUCUUUUUGCACUAUGUGUUUGGUUUUGUUGUGCUUUUUUGUGUAUUAAAUAAUUUUCAUUUUGUCAUUUUGUGGUGUCAUUAUUGGGGAAAUACAGAAUUGUUUUUGUAUACAGCAAGAUCUUGUUUUCUGCCUUUGAAUUUGUGUCAGACCACAAAUUUGGUCUGAUGGGAAUGAAU
ensembl:lncRNA